rnacentral:rRNA from 1 species
AUAACUUUUAUCUUACUUUAUUUUUUUUUAUUUUUAUGAGAAAAAUCUUUUUGUUUAGUAUAUUAAAGAAAUGCAUUUAUUGUUAUAGUAAAUUAGUACUGUGAAGGAAUUGGUGAAAUACAAUGAAAAAUUAAUUUAUAGAAAGUAUAUUUUAUUUAUAGUACCUUUUGUAUCAGGGUUAAUUAAAUAAUUUAAUUUAUCUUUAUUUCUCGAUUUCAAAAGAUCUAAUUUAUUAAUUUAGUUAAUGUUUCAUAAUUAUUGAUAAUAUAAAUUAGCAGAGAAAUUCUAUUCGGUUUUGAAGGUAUCUAGUUUUUUAAGAAUUAAAUUUAAUUUAAUUUUGCUAUUUAAUGACCAUAUUAUUUUGGUUAUUAUUCUGUGAAUUAAAAAUUUUAGGGGAUAAGCUCUAAAUUAUUCUAUAAAAGGGCUGGUAAUUAAUUUUUGUAGGGUUAUAAGUAUCCAUCAUUAAUAAUUGUGUUAUAACUUAUUUUAGAUAUUACUUGAUUUUUUCUUUUUUAGUAACUUAUUAAAAUAUUAGGAUUAACUUUUUAUUUUUAGGAAUAAUGAUUAAAUUAGUAUAUUUAUUUGUUUAUAAUUUUUUAUAAAUCAUGAUAAAAUAAGGAACUCGGCAAAUAUAAUUCUCGCCUGUUUAACAAAAACAUGUCCUUUUGCAUUUAAUUGAAGGUCUGACCUGCCCAGUGAUUAAUUUAACGGCCGCGGUAUACUGACCGUGCAAAGGUAGCAUAAUCAUUAGUCUUUUAAUAGAGGGCUGGAAUGAAAGGUUUAACGAGGAAUUAGCUGUCUCAUUUUAUUUGUUUUAAAAUUUAAUUUUUUAGUUAAAAAGCUAAAAUUAUAUUGGUAGACGAGAAGACCCUAUAGAUCUUUAUAUAUUUUUAAUUAAUUGUUAUUUUAUUAGAACUUUUGAUUAAUAAUGUAUUUUGUUGGGGCGACAAAAAUAUAUAAAUAACUUUUUUAUAAAAUUAACAUUGAUUUAUGAGUAUUAGAUCCAUUAUUAUUGAUUGAUAGAUUAAGUUACCUUAGGGAUAACAGCGUAAUCCUCUUCCAGAGUUCAUAUUUACGAGGGGGCUUGCGACCUCGAUGUUGGAUUAAGAUAAUAAUUAGGUGUAGCCGCUUAAUAUAUAGGUCUGUUCGACCUUUAAAC